GUAGGUGAACCUGCGGAAGGAUCAUUAACGAGAAGACCAGGGCUCCGCCCCUGGUAGGGGUAGGCCUUCGGGCCUGCCCUGCUUCUUCACCCAUUGCAUACCUUCCAGUGUUGCUUUGGCGGGCCGUGGGGGCUCUUUCCCCGCCGCCAGCCCCGGGUCAGUCCCGGGUCUGAGUGCCUGCCCGCCAGAGGCCUUCAAACCAAACCCUGUUAUCUGUGAUGUCCGACUGAUUGCACAAUUAUAGAAAAAA
rnacentral:misc_RNA from 1 species